UUGAUGAGCGGACCCCACAGUAUUUCUGGGCUUCACAGGGAUCUUUGGCUUAGGUAAAAGAAGCGUUGCUGCAGAGCAAGUGGGGAAGGGAAGUAGAGAAGGAAAAAUACACCUGGUUACCUCCAGUUUGACUAUAAAAGUUAUUUAUUGUGAAGCAUAUCCAAUUUAUAAUGGUACUAGUAGUAAUAGACAUGCAAGGGAAAACAAAACAAUUACAAUAUUCCCCUGGUUUAAUUGAGUAUUUGGGGAAACUUAGCUGAAGCUUAACUAAUACAAUUUAGGUUCAGAAAGCUAUGCGUAGAGACAAAAACAAAAAGAGAGAAAGAGAGAGCGAGAGCUGGGGUGUCACUGUUCCCAGGCACUCGGGUGAUCUGAUGACAAGCAAAGUUCCCAGCACGAUCCUUGAAGGGAGAGGAUCUGUUUCUGCCAGCUUCUUGGGAACAACAGCGGGUGAUGUCAGAGAGAUUUUUCUCUCUUGAAGCACCCUGUUUGCUGCUUUACAGCUUUCUUAUCCCCUUAGUCCAGCCUCUUCAAAGCAUUCUUUUAAUUGUGUAAAUCAAGAGGGUCCCAAGCCCUAAGUGACAGGGAAAAUCCUAUUAUAUAACAGUUUCAAUUUAAAUGAAUGACCUUUCUCAGUGACCAGGGGUUAUCUGGUUUGGAACGUCUCAAGAAAUGGAUUAACCACCAGGAAAAACAUCAAGUUUUAAGGAAGAACCAGACAUGUAGGAGCCAGCUUGAAAUUAUGGGGUUUUAUUUUCUUUUUUUCCAGUCCUCUUCCUUUUACAACAAGGUGUCUAUGAAACUGCAUCUUGACAUUUUCUCUUAACUUUUUAAUCCUGAGCCAUUUUGGUUGUGGCCAGCCUCAAGGCACUCAUGCUUACAAAAUCAAAUGGAGAUGCGCAGAACUGAGACCGGUUUUCCUGUAGAUUGUCUGAAGAGGCUUCAUCUUUUGUUAAGUGCACUGACGGCGUCUGUCUUGGGGCAGUGGAUUGUUCUUGGUGCUGUGUAUUGAGCUGGUCCCUGAGGGAAUCAUGAUUAAUUGGUAACUGGUAACAGCCAGGCCUGCAGUGAUCCCAGGUCCCAUGCCUCAAAACAGCCACAGUUACACGAGCACCCAUGUCACGAGUUUUGCCUGUCAGCAGCCAGAGGUGCAGGCCCUCGAGCCCAGAAGCCCUGCGCCGAUCUCCUCGACAGCUGGCAGGCCUCGUGGCCGCAGCAGGGGCCACCAUCGCUGCAGUUUUCAGCCCGCUGCACCUUAACACACACGGUCAUCUAUGUCACGAGUUUUGCCUGUCAGCAGCUCGAGGUGCAGUUCCCCAAAACCCUGCACCAAUCGUCUUGAAGCUUGGCAGGUUUCAUGGCCUCGGCGAGGCUACCGCCCCUGCAGUUUUCACCCGGCUGUGGCGUAACACAUACGCGUGACGUGAGUUUUGCUUUCAAGAAUGUGGGGUGCAGUUCCCCCAAGCCCCUGCACCGAUCUUCUUGAAACGUGGCAGGCUUCAUGCUCUCAACAGGGGCUACCACCCCUGCAAGCUUCACCCAAAUCAGGCAAAAAAACAACAAAGCUGUCGAUAUUUCACUGAUUCCCCAUUAUACCCUAUGGCCGGGUCUCCGAGGCGGCUCCGAAGCUUCCUACUCACACAGGCCGACUCGUGACUACAAUGGACUGCAGAACCCAGAUCUCCUCUAAGCAGGAUUACCUCUAUCGUCACAUCCACAGCUGCCCCAUUCAGGCCAUGGAAAGCUGUCUGUGCACCAGGCAUGGCAGGAUCGGCGCUGGGACAGUUGGCUGUGCCGGCCUCAGAGAAUGGGAGAGCUUUGCAUCUCCCUGGGUGAUUAUAGGAUCGUAUUUCUGAAGACAGAUGUACUUUUGGGGCAUCCAGAAGCAAAGACACACAUUUUAAUGGGAUGAAAAGUGGGUCAAACCUGUUUCAAAGGGAGCAUAGAGAGAGUGUCUGAUCUUCUGGGGAAGGGAUGUUGACUGUCAGCACAAAGACUUCUUACAUGAGCUCUGUACAAUGGGAAACAGCAAUGGAGAAGAGGUGGUGGGAGGUAGCCAGCAAAAUCAGUGACAUUUAGGAGGCAGCACUGCAGUACUUGGAGGUACCAAGUAGUUAUUUCAUCUCGGUGAGCAAUUUUAAUUCAUUUUCAGCAAAAUCUUAAAAACUUGAAGACCUGGACUUCUUCAGCUGUGCCAUCACAAACCUGAAGAGUUACAGGGAAAGGAUUUUUGAGCUGCUUCAGGAGAUCACCUACCUAGAUUGAUUUGAUCAGAAAGAUAACGAGGCCCCCAACUCAGAAGAUGAAGAUGAUGAGGGUGACUUCUGUAAACAUGCAGUCAUUAGUUAUGCCAUUCAGUCAGGAUCUAAAUACAAAAUUGAGACUAAAGUGACUGUGGAAGUGCUGGAGCACAAAUCAGCUACGUGUGUCAGGUGAAGGGCAGUAUCACAUACUGCUCCUAUUGGGUAAUGCGGGGGGGGCGGGCAAUGCACUUGCAAAGAGAGUAGUCAUGGAUGCUGUGCACGGUUAAAGGAGAGCUGCGCUUUGGAAAACAUGAGUACACAUCUUUACACUGAGAUAUAACUAUAUAAAAGCAGUUAUUUUAUUGCUGGUACCAAAAGCUUUUUUUUUUCCGUACCCAUCAUCUCAUAUUCGAUGCUGUGGCACAUUCAGUUCUGUGUUUUCUCUUCCUAUAGAAAGAGGAAAAAGUGGGAUGUUACUUCUAGUCCUGUCUUUUUUUAAAGAUUUCUGGAGAAGGUUUUGUAGCGGAAUUGAGUCAGAUUUCAGAAGCUCAUUUAAGAUGAGUUUACAAACAAGCCUUUGAGGUUUAAGCAAAGCUGUAAGGAAUUAAUUUACUUGCCUUUCAGAAGGGGAUGAGGAGGAUGAAGCAGAUGAAGAUGAAGCUGGUCCACCAGGAGAGUACAAAGAAGACGAAGAUGAAGAUGAUGGAGGUUCAGAUUUGGGGAGAGUGAAGAGGAGGAAGAAGCUGGCCUUUCAUACCUGAUGACGGACAAGAUCCAGGCAGGACUUACCCUAUUCUACUAUAAGGCUCAGGAUUUUCUUGACACUGUCUAGCUAUAAAUGUGUAAUAAGUUAAACUUGUAUAAGCAGAAUCAUGUAAAUCCACUAUCAUACAUGAGCAAUAGAGUACUUUAGAGAGAGACCUUUUACGAUCAAAAAAGUGCAUUACAGUAGGGGAACCACCGCUGUUUGGUAUUCUCCGUUAUCUUGCUCAAAAUGAAAUGCUUCACGAUUCAUUACUUCACGGCCUUGUAGAAUUAGUGUCAUUCUGCACCAGAUCACCACGUCCAAUUUGGAGGAAAACAUGGCCGAAACAAAUCCACCUGCCCUAUCAGGAUGCUCACAAGUGCCUGGGGCGCUUCAGCCUUGAGAGCCAUGCCCUCACCAUGCAGAUCUGCAGGCUGUCAGGUGUGGGGCUGGGGCUUCCAGGCAGGGGGGAGAGGGUGAGUAUGGAGGAGCUAGGGCCUGAGGGUGCAGGGGGCUGAUCAGGAUGUGAGGGCUGAGGCAAAGGGGAGACAGGCUGGGAAUCCAGGAGUGAGGGCUGGCCACUGAGGAAGAAGUCAGGGAGAGGCUGGAGCUGUGGCCCUGGGAGCGCUGUGGGUUCGGCCAUGCAGGGGAGAGCUGGGGCGGGGAGCGGAGACUUGCCCUGGGUGGGAGCGCAUUGCCCUUGCCCUGGGUGGGAGCACAGGACCUUGAGCUGCUGUUAGUUGAGGGAGGUGGGUGGGAAGCUGGAUCCUGGCAUUUUGGGGAAGGAGGAGGGAUUGGACGCUCCUUUCACCCCACUUAUCUCAGGGCCCUUUUCUUUCCUACCCGGGGGGCAGACAGCCCGUGUGAUGUUUGCUGAGCUGACCUGCAGGGAGCCUGAUGGACCCAGGGGAUGGGAACGGGGCUGUGUCGGGUUCGCUGCUCUGGGAAGGAAGCGCAUUAGAGCAGAGCAGGCGUGAGGACCAGGACUUGCAGGUUGUGCCCUGCUCUGGCUCUUCGAAAGGAGUGCUGUCCAGCAUGCCAUAGUGAGGGGCAUGGUUUGGGGGGACUCCUGCGUCCUGUUUCUAGCUGAGGGAAGGAGGGAAGGGGUGGGAGGAAGGCUCUGUGGCUCAGGACUCCUGGCUUCUUUUGGGGAUGUCUCUUCCCCAGAAUGAACCCACAAAUCAUCUGUGCAUUGAGUCAAUCGAUCCCUUGGGUGAUGCUGUCAGCACGUACAUGGAGCGGUGAUCAACGUGAGCCAUGAUGCACGACUGAUCCCGCAGACCAGCUGCCAGCUCUGGGUGGUGGAGGAGCAGUCCAUCAGCCACAUCAACGGCGACUUCGACUGCAAGCGGGAGGUGCUGGAGGCCUCGGGCCAGGUCAGCAUUAACUGGCCCCGGGAGUGACCUUGCUGUGGGGAGGCUCCUCGAGGACCUGCCCAUCCCCUCUCAGAGACCUGCCUCCACAGCUUCACGUGCACCCACACCCAGAGGACUCUGUAGAGGGGGCAGGGCCGCAGGCAUGGUUGUGGUUGAACUUUGAAGAUGUGUUUUGGGGGCCUAAUGCAAGACAUGUUAUAUUUUUAGAGCUGUUCUUCUACACCUGCUGCUUUCCCAGGAGAGAGAGACUUAAUUUAUAUGAAUGGUAGGGAGGGGGUUGUACUGGAACGGUCUGUUUUAGGCAGGAGUGAGGGCUGUCCUUGUCCCAUUGCUGGGUUCCCUGCCCCCAGUCUGGAGAAUGACUUGAGCCUUGUUUUGCUUCCACCCAAGAAGAUUAUAUUAAAAUAUAAUAAAGGAAAA